UACGAAGGGGGCUAGCGUUGUUCGGAAUCACUGGGCGUAAAGCGCACGUAGGCGGACUCCUAAGCCAGAGGUGAAAUCCUGGAGCUCAACUCCAGAACUGCCUUUGAUACUGGGAGCCUUGAGUUCGGGAGAGGUGAGUGGAACUGCGAGUGUAGAGGUGAAAUUCGUAGAUAUUCGCAAGAACACCAGUGGCGAAGGCGGCUCACUGGCCCGAUACUGACGCUGAGGUGCGAAAGCGUGGGGAGCAAACAGG
rnacentral:rRNA from 1 species